rnacentral:misc_RNA from 1 species
UGGUCCUCAGGUCCAUUGUCUCUGACCAAGCUCAGAAGCUGCCAUAACGAGGUUAUUGGACAGAGACCGUGAACCAUAGGACCGAUGUCAAGUUACUGCUACAGAGUUCAGUGAAAUAUUCCUGUUAUCACUGUGUAAUGGGAUCCAGGCUCCAUCUGUGUGUGUUUGCAAAUCUGCCUUCAUGAACUCGAGGAAAAUCAGCCAUCAGUUUUAGUUUUCUGUCAGCUUUUGUUUUAGCAUUGGACAUAGCUAUUUUUGGGUUUUGACAAUUUAAUUAAAGACAACAGGUCUUUUGAUAAUUUUUCAUUGAUUUAUAUUAUGUAACACAAUUUUGACUGUGCCAACAUUUUAGAAAUCCUUUUCCAAGAAGAAAUGUUGUUUAGAUUUGUAAGGACAUGACAGACUGUUGUUUGGUACCUGUGUAAAUAUCUAGUUUUUGAUUGUACAGUUACAUUUCCAUCAGUUCUUAACAAGUUCCAUGUUAACAUCAAGUGUAAUGUCUGCCUGCACAUGUUUGACAAAAUAAAAUAAAAAAUUC